UACGUAGGGUGCGAGCGUUGGCCGGAAUUAUUGGGCGUAAAGAGCUCGUAGGCGGUGUGUCGCGUCGGUCGUGAAAACUUGGGGCUUAACCCUGAGCUUGCGGUCGAUACGGGCAUGACUGGAGUUCGGCAGGGGAGACUGGAAUUCCUGGUGUAGCGGUGAAAUGCGCAGAUAUCAGGAGGAACACCGGUGGCGAAGGCGGGUCUCUGGGCCGAUACUGACGCUGAGGAGCGAAAGCGUGGGGAGCGAACAG
rnacentral:rRNA from 1 species